rnacentral:rRNA from 1 species
CGGAGUGAGUGCGAACGGGUGAGUAACACGUGGGUAACCUGCCCAGAAGUAGGGGAUAACACCUGGAAACAGAUGCUAAUACCGUAUAACAGAGAAAACCGCAUGGUUUUCUUUUAAAAGAUGGCUCUGCUAUCACUUCUGGAUGGACCCGCGGCGUAUUAGCUAGUUGGUGAGGUAAAGGCUCACCAAGGCAGUGAUACGUAGCCGACCUGAGAGGGUAAUCGGCCACAUUGGGACUGAGACACGGCCCAGACUCCUACGGGAGGCAGCAGUAGGGAAUCUUCCACAAUGGACGCAAGUCUGAUGGAGCAACGCCGCGUGAGUGAAGAAGGGUUUCGGCUCGUAAAGCUCUGUUGUUAAAGAAGAACGUGGGUAAGAGUAACUGUUUACCCAGUGACGGUAUUUAACCAGAAAGCCACGGCUAACUACGUGCCAGCAGCCGCGGUAAUACGUAGGUGGCAAGCGUUAUCCGGAUUUAUUGGGCGUAAAGCGAGCGCAGGCGGUCUUUUAAGUCUAAUGUGAAAGCCUUCGGCUCAACCGAAGAAGUGCAUUGGAAACUGGGAGACUUGAGUGCAGAAGAGGACAGUGGAACUCCAUGUGUAGCGGUGAAAUGCGUAGAUAUAUGGAAGAACACCAGUGGCGAAGGCGGCUGUCUGGUCUGCAACUGACGCUGAGGCUCGAAAGCAUGGGUAGCGAACAGGAUUAGAUACCCUGGUAGUCCAUGCCGUAAACGAUGAUUACUAAGUGUUGGAGGGUUUCCGCCCUUCAGUGCUGCAGCUAACGCAUUAAGUAAUCCGCCUGGGGAGUACGACCGCAAGGUUGAAACUCAAAAGAAUUGACGGGGGCCCGCACAAGCGGUGGAGCAUGUGGUUUAAUUCGAAGCUACGCGAAGAACCUUACCAGGUCUUGACAUCUUCUGACAGUCUAAGAGAUUAGAGGUUCCCUUCGGGGACAGAAUGACAGGUGGUGCAUGGUGUCGUCAGCU